rnacentral:rRNA from 1 species
AUUGAACGCUGGCGGCAUGCCUUACACAUGCAAGUCGAACGGUAACAGGUCUUCGGAUGCUGACGAGUGGCGAACGGGUGAGUAAUACAUCGGAACGUGCCUAGUAGUGGGGGAUAACUACUCGAAAGAGUGGCUGAUACCGCAUGAGAUCUACGGAUGAAAGCAGGGGAUCGCAAGACCUUGUGCUACUAGAGCGGCCGAUGGCAGAGUAGGUAGUUGGUGGGAUAAAAGCUUACCAAGCCGACGAUCUGUAGCUGGUCUGAGAGGACGAUCAGCCACACUGGGACUGAGACACGGCCCAGACUCCUACGGGAGGCAGCAGUGGGGAAUUUUGGACAAUGGGCGCAAGCCUGAUCCAGCAAUGCCGCGUGCAGGAUGAAGGCCUUCGGGUUGUAAACUGCUUUUGUACGGAACGAAAAGCCCUGGGUUAAUACCCUGGGGUCAUGACGGUACCGUAAGAAUAAGCACCGGCUAACUACGUGCCAGCCGCCGCUGUAAAAC